rnacentral:rRNA from 1 species
AUUGAACGCUGGCGGCAUGCCUUACACAUGCAAGUCGAACGGUAACAGGUCUUCGGAUGCUGACGAGUGGCGAACGGGUGAGUAAUACAUCGGAACGUGCCUAGUAGUGGGGGAUAACUACUCGAAAGAGUGGCUAAUACCGCAUGAGAUCUACGGAUGAAAGCAGGGGAUCGCAAGACCUUGUGCUACUAGAGCGGCCGAUGGCAGAUUAGGUAGUUGGCGGGAUAAAAGCUUACCAAGCCGACGAUCUGUAGCUGGUCUGGGAGGACGAUCAGCCACACUGGGACUGAGACACGGCCCAGACUCCUACGGGAGGCAGCAGUGGGGAAUUUUGGACAAUGGGCGCAAGCCUGAUCCAGCAAUGCCGCGUGCAGGAUGAAGGCCUUCGGGUUGUAAACUGCUUUUGUACGGAACGAAAAGCCCUGGGUUAAUACCCUGGGGUCAUGACGGUACCGUAAGAAUAAGCACCGGCUAACUACGUGCCAGCCGCCGCAGUAACAC